rnacentral:rRNA from 1 species
AUUGAACGCUGGCGGCAGGCCUAACACGUGCAAGUCGAACGGUAACAGGAAGCAGCUUGCUGCUUUGCUGACGAGUGGCGGACGGGUGAGUAAUGUCUGGGAAACUGCCUGAUGGAGGGGGAUAACUACUGGAAACGGUAGCUAAUACCGCAUAACGUCGCAAGACCAAAGAGGGGGACCUUAGGGCCUCUUGCCAUCGGAUGUGCCCAGAUGGGAUUAGCUAGUAGGUGGGGUAACGGCUCACCUAGGCGACGAUCCCUAGCUGGUCUGAGAGGAUGACCAGCCACACUGGAACUGAGACACGGUCCAGACUCCUACGGGAGGCAGCAGUGGGGAAUAUUGCACAAUGGGCGCAAGCCUGAUGCAGCCAUGCCGCGUGUAUGAAGAAGGCCUUCGGGUUGUAAAGUACUUUCAGCGGGGAGGAAGGGAGUAAAGUUAAUACCUUUGCUCAUUGACGUUACCCGCAGAAGAAGCACCGGCUAACUCCGUG